UGAGACAGUUCGGUCCCUAUCCGUCGUGGGCGUUGGAAGUCUGAGAGGAGCUGUCCUUAGUACGAGAGGACCGGGAUGGACACACCGCUGGUGUACCAGUUGUUCCGCCAGGAGCACAGCUGGGUAGCUACGUGUGGCAAGGAUAAGUGCUGAAAGCAUCUAAGCAUGAAGCCCCCCUCAAGAUGAAACUUCCCAUCACGUCAAGUGAGUAAGAUCCCUCAGAGACGAUGAGGUAGAUAGGUCCGAGGUGGAAGCGUGGUGACACGUGGAGCUGACGGAUACUAAUCGAUCGAGGACUUAACUA
rnacentral:rRNA from 1 species